CAGGCGCCGGCGCCCGCCGCGCCGCCGUUGAUGUGGCCGUGGUGGCGCUCCUCCGAGAGAGUGACUGUUUCUCAAAAAAUCUCUUUGACAGCUUUCUUCGUCCGCCCAUGCUAAACUGAGAAGAGAAAGUGCUGCGGGUGAAGUAGCAAACUUUGAGACUCAAACCUCGAUGCUCAUUUCUGUGCUUUGUGAGCAACGUGAGCGUGUAGCCUGUCUUCUGUUGUAGCCUUGAAGGUCCUGUAGUUGAACUCGAUAAGUCCGUGUUUUUGAGACUGUGUUGUGAAAAGUAACAGCAAAGUAACUAGUUCUGUUACAAAAAUUGAGAUCUACGACCGUGCUGUGGGAAGCUGAACAGUCUACUUGGAGUAUGGCGGGAAAUUCUAAAAUGUCCACUAACCCUUUGAAUAAUAUUCCUCACCCGAAUGCACUAUUGACGUGGGGCACGACUGCCUGCCUGCUGGUCGUAAUGCUAGUCCUUGGCCUGCUGGUGUACUUGCCGCUCAGAAAGCGCCGUGCCAACAGUGGUCGUGCGGCCGCCAUACAACGGCGCUCGGUUGACAUUCAGAUACGGGAUGCCGAUCCUUAUGUCAACGGCGGUCGUGCCUCCGCAGGGAGCUCCCCACCCGCACCGCACCGUCAUCGGCUACCUCGUGUCGGUGCGCACGGAGCAUACACGCCACUGCGGUCCGACACCGAUGCCGGCUACUCACCGGCGCGUCAGUACAUGGGCAGUGAGGAGAAUGCACUGCGCUUGCAGCGCGCGGCCGACUUAACCAACGUGAUGAACACAGCCGACGCUUGAGUAUGUGAUAGUGCGCCGCUGUUACUUUACUGCUCCUCAACUUGAUGGUGAGCCUCUGGUCAAGCACUGCCACAGAAGGUGUGCUUCGAUUGGCUUGUGAGUUGCAAAUGAAUGAUGUCAUCAUGAUGGAGCAUCUCAAUGAUGAUGUCGUUAUGAGGCAUCAUGAGAUCUGAUGACAUCAGCUAUGGCACCCUGACCUAUGAUUUCUAGCUACUGAGUACUGUGCAAUAGGAAUGUGCUGUCCUAGCCGUUGGCAAGUGUGCGUGGCAUAACAGCUUGGAUGUUUAUGCACCCAAUCUAUCAUGACUCGUUGCUGGACUUUUGUCAGCUAUUUCACCGCAGUAGUGAGUCGUCGGCACGUGAACAAGCAGUUUGGGAAUGGGCAAAGCUGCUUUGGCAUCAUAAUGGUUCCCGGAACCCUUACAUACUGUUGACAAGCAUGCCGUGUUGGAGCUUUAUCACGGUUUAUCUAAUGUGCCCGCACACACAUCUUGCCUUGCGACUGCUUGCUGUGCUGGCUGUAUGAUGCAUGGAUGCUGAGGACGGUCCAGUUUUCGGCAGGAUGCUUGAAAAUCCACUUCCAUGCCCUGUCCACACGCCAUGUCCACACGCCAUGUCCACACGCCGUGUCCGAGUGCUGUCAGUGCACUGUACGUGUACUAGCAGCGCAGGUACCAACUUACAUGAUGAAUAAAUCCCAGAUUUGGACAGCCUGGAACUUCUCUGUUUUAAAUCCCAGAAUAUUAUUCUCUUCUUUUUUAUUCGUACCUGUGUCUCGAGAACGCUCGCUUUUCAUGCCAUUCUGACGCCAUGCUUUGCUGCUAAUAUGUUUUAUAUCAUGUUUUCAUUUUUUUUAUCAUUGGGAAUUUUUUUUAUCUGUACUAAUGUACUAUAACAUA